AUUGAACGCUGGCGGCAUGCUUUACACAUGCAAGUCGAGCGGGGGAAGGUAGCUUGCUACCGGACCUAGCGGCGGACGGGUGAGUAAUGCUUAGGAAUCUGCCUAUUAGUGGGGGACAACAUCUCGAAAGGGAUGCUAAUACCGCAUACGUCCUACGGGAGAAAGCAGGGGAUCUUCGGACCUUGCGCUAAUAGAUGAGCCUAAGUCGGAUUAGCUAGUUGGGGGGGUAAAGGCCUACCAAGGCGACGAUCUGUAGCGGGUCUGAGAGGAUGAUCCGACACACUGGGACUGAGACACGGCCCAGACUCCUACGGGAGGCAGCAGUGGGGAAUAUUGGACAAUGGGGGGAACCCUGAUCCAGCCAUGCCGCGUGUGUGAAGAAGGCCUUAUGGUCGCAAAGCACUUUAAGCGAGGAGGAGGCUACUUUAGUUAAUACCUAGAGAUAGUGGACGUUACUCGCAGAAUAAGCACCGGCUAACUCUGUGCCAGCCGCCGCGGUAA
rnacentral:rRNA from 1 species